rnacentral:rRNA from 1 species
UACGGAGGGUGCAAACGCUGCUCGGAAUCAUUGGGCGUAAAGCGUGUGUAGGCGGCUUGUUAAGUCAGGGGUGAAAUCCUGGAGCUCAACUCCAGAACUGCCUUUGAUACUGGCGAGCUUGAGUCCGGGAGAGGUGAGUGGAACUGCGAGUGUAGAGGUGAAAUUCGUAGAUAUUCGCAAGAACACCAGUGGCGAAGGCGGCUCUCUGGGACGGUACUGACGCUGAGACGCGAAAGCGUGGGGAGCAAACAGGG